CCUUCGGGUGUGACUGCGUACCUUUUGUAUAAUGGGUCAGCGACUUAUAUUCUGUAGCAAGGUUAACCGUAUAGGGGAGCCGAAGGGAAACCGAGUCUUAACUGGGCGUUAAGUUGCAGGGUAUAGACCCGAAACCCGGUGAUCUAGCCAUGGGCAGGUUGAAGGUUGGGUAACACUAACUGGAGGACCGAACCGACUAAUGUUGAAAAAUUAGCGGAUGACCUGUGGCUGGGGGUGAAAGGCCAAUCAAACCGGGAGAUAGCUGGUUCUCCCCGAAAGCUAUUUAGGUAGCGCCUCGUGAACUCAUCUUCGGGGGUAGAGCACUGUUUCGGCUAGGGGGCCAUCCCGGCUUACCAACCCGAUGCAAACUACGAAUACCGAAGAAUGUUAUCACGGGAGACACACGGCGGGUGCUAACGUCCGUCGUGAAGAGGGAAACAACCCAGACCGCCAGCUAAGGUCCCAAAGUCAUGGUUAAGUGGGAAACGAUGUGGGAAGGCACAGACAGCCAGGAUGUUGGCUUAGAAGCAGCCAUCAUUUAAAGAAAGCGUAAUAGCUCACUGGUCGAGUCGGCCUGCGCGGAAGAUGUAACGGGGCUAAACCAUGCACCGAAGCUGCGGC
rnacentral:rRNA from 1 species